rnacentral:rRNA from 1 species
GACGAACGCUGGCGGCGUGCUUAACACAUGCAAGUCGAACGGAAAGGCCCUGCUUUUGUGGGGUGCUCGAGUGGCGAACGGGUGAGUAACACGUGAGUAACCUGCCCUUGACUUUGGGAUAACUUCAGGAAACUGGGGCUAAUACCGGAUAGGAGCUCCUGCUGCAUGGUGGGGGUUGGAAAGUUUCGGCGGUUGGGGAUGGACUCGCGGCUUAUCAGCUUGUUGGUGGGGUAGUGGCUUACCAAGGCUUUGACGGGUAGCCGGCCUGAGAGGGUGACCGGCCACAUUGGGACUGAGAUACGGCCCAGACUCCUACGGGAGGCAGCAGUGGGUAAUAUUGCGCAAUGGGCGGAAGCCUGAUGCAGCAACGCCGCGUGCGGGAUGACGGCCUUCGGGGUGUAAACCGCUUUCGCCUGUGACGAAGCGUGAGUGACGGUAAUGGGUAAAGAAGCACCGGCUAACUACGUG